AGUGGGUAGAGAACGGCGCACGAGCAGCUGGGAACCCAGGAAGCUGAGGCCAUUAAUCUCGCCAUUUAUGGAAACACCGAGACAGCUUAGAGACCCCUGACAGUCUAUCAUAGACCUGGGUGCGUCGCUGGUGUUUACCGCUUGCUGACCAUGAAAUCUGAGCGUGCUGAUCCACCAGCCCGGGACAGAGCCUCCGGGUAUUAUCCUACUCAGAAUGUCAAAUUCACCGUCUAACAGUGUUCAAGUUUUCAGUAUCUUUUACUACGACAGCCCAGAGUGGCUACAAGGAGCACCUUUCCCCAUAUCAUUACUGCUGUUGACGUGAGACUUGGCACCUUUGACAGAAGCAGGUUGCUGUGUUGGCAGGUGGGGGGCCGAGGUACGCCGGAGUCCAGCCUUUCCUGUUCACACUGUUCUGCCUUUGAAAGAAGUGUCCUCCACCCCUCACUACAUGUGAGAAAGGAAAUUGCUUUACCUAUAGAGAAUGCUGUUUACAGGGACUCUUGGAGGAGAUUAUGACGGCCAUUGGCUGGAUUUACGGGGGAGCGCUGCUUACCAGGUCACAUCUUUCACUGCAGGCUGAUGAAACCUGCCACUGAUGGUUCACCAUCUCCGCUCUUUAUACAGAGUAGGACCCAAGCCUUUCCCGGGAGGCAGGAACCUAGGGCCAGGGGAGAUGCUGAUUUACGUGGAGUGACUUGGUCGUAUGCAGGAGGUUGCUGUUUUUAGGAAACC